rnacentral:rRNA from 1 species
AAUUUUGGACAAUGGGCGCAAGCCUGAUCCAGCAAUGCCGCGUGCAGGAUGAAGGCCUNCGGGUUNUNAACUGCUUUUGUACGGANAGAAAAGCCCUGGGUUAAUACCCUGGGGUCAUGACGGUACCGUAAGAAUAAGCACCGGCUAACUACGUGCCAGCAGCCGCGGUAAUACGUAGGGUGCGAGCGUUAAUCGGAAUUACUGGGCGUAAAGCGUGCGCAGGCGGGUUUGUAAGGAAAAGGUGAAAUCCCAGGGAUAAACCAGGGAACUGAAUUUGUGACUGCAAGGCUAGAGUACGGCAGAGGGGGAUGAAAUGCCGCGUGUAGCAGAGAAAUGAGUAGAUAAGCGGAGGAACACCGAUGGCGAAGGCAAGCCCCUGGGCCUGUACUGAAGCUCAUGCACGAAAGCGUGGGGAGCAAACAGG